GAGAGAGAAGCCUCUUUGUCUCUUCCCUUCCGGCGAGGUUUGGACACAGCAGACUCCCACAAGGCCGGUCUCGCUCCCGUGGGGGGAGUUGAGGCCUGGCCGGGCCUACAGGGCCUGUUGUUCCUGCUGAUCCGGGGUCCGGUAGGGUGGCGGCAGCAUUUGGGCAACUGUGCUAUCCCAAGGAAAGCAGGGAAUAUCGGACCUCACAAUAAAACAUAUAGUUUGUUGAAACUCGGAGCAGAUAAAGUGACAUUAUAAUUGAUAACAUAGAAGACAAGAGAACAAUUAAAAUCUCAGCUAACACUAAGCCAGAGAAGAUGUGCAAGCUUUCUGCCCAAAAGACUGAUGAUCUCUUCAAGAUGCUUAUAAGAUUGACAAUACUCAGCAUCAGGAAUGAGAGGUUUUAUCUGAAAUUCCUGUGAUCUACUGUUAAUAUAUUCACUGAGAUGACUCAAGAAUGGAACUGUAAUUAAUGCCUGAAGUUUGGAUUGUGACAUAAUUCUACAGAAGAGGAAAAGAAAAACCCUUUCCUCUUCCUCACCUGAAAUAAAAGUAAAAAUUACUGAAUGAGUUGCAUUGUAUCAUUACAUGAUUCCAAAAUCAUUUUCAUUUUGGAAAAAAAAAAAAAAGAAAAAAGAAAAAGGCAAGAUCACUUUGCUGAAUUGAAGUAAUUUUGUCAAACAUUUCAAAAUAUCAGCAUAUACCAAGGCGACUGAAACUGCCUGUGAUUAAUAAGGCCUCCAACACUGAAGAUUCCUUCAGCUGUAAGAAGGUUUCAUUUACACCCUUUCUU